rnacentral:misc_RNA from 1 species
AUGGUCGGCGCCCGAACAGGGACUGUG